CAGAUGAAAGCUGGCGAAUUUUCCUGCACACAGUUCUGCUUUCCAAUAGAUUUUGCCAAAAGCAAGUGUCCAGUAAUGGCAAAAUAGAAGUCACUGAUAACAAAAUGCGGUUGGAGUCAUUUGUGAUUAUUGCACUGCUUGCUAGUUUCCAAGCAAGAAUUAACAGUGUAGAGAUAGGUGUUCUAAAAUCCACCCUCACAGCUGCCAAUAGGACUGUUCCCCCAGACAGAAAAAUUGAAAGCAAACCAUGCACCUGUUUCAGCACAAGGCAAUUUCUCCAUGCAGUAAAGUCUUCAUUUGAUGCCACUCUAUUGCCAGAAGGGAAGUAUGUCAGGAUGGCCAGUUGUAGGGGAGAACAUGGGCAGCAUCAGAUGCCAUGUUUGCACAGUUUAUUUUAGCCAUUUGGAACUCUU